rnacentral:lncRNA from 1 species
UGGCAGUUGAGUCCAGAUUUUGUUCACGCUAGUAGGGCGUGUUUAGUUGCCAAAAAUUUUACAAAAUGUACAUUUUGCAAAAUGGUUCUUGUUUCGUUGCAAAAAUUUUUGCAAAAUGAAUAUUAUAAUAUUUCAGUUUGUAUUUGACAAAUAUUAUCGAAUCAUGAACUAACUAGUUUAAAAGAUUCAUCUCGUAAAUUAUAGACAAACUGUAUAAUUAGUUAGUUUUUAAUCUAUAUUUAAUGCUAUAUAUGUGCCGCAAGAUUUGAUGUGACAAAGAAUCUGAUUUUUUUUUUUCAAAAUUUCUCAUGAACUAAACAAAGCCUAAACAUGCCCUAGGAGCGUUUUUUUUCUUCUUCGCAGUUGAAGUGAAAGAAAGAAGAGAGGGCUACUAUCCAGCAGCUGUGGCUGCAGCAAGGACCACACCACAGUAGUUGGGCACAGGGAAACACUGCCCAAAGCCAAGGG